rnacentral:rRNA from 1 species
AGUGAACGCUGGCGGUAGGCCUAACACAUGCAAGUCGAACGGCAGCACAGUAAGAGCUUGCUCUUACGGGUGGCGAGUGGCGGACGGGUGAGGAAUACAUCGGAAUCUACUUUUUCGUGGGGGAUAACGUAGGGAAACUUACGCUAAUACCGCAUACGACCUACGGGUGAAAGCAGGGGAUCUUCGGACCUUGCGCGAUUGAAUGAGCCGAUGUCGGAUUAGCUAGUUGGCGGGGUAAAGGCCGACCAAGGCGACGAUCCGUAGCUGGGCUGAGAGGAUGAUCAGCCACACUGGAACUGAGACACGGUCCAGACUCCUACGGGAGGCAGCAGUGGGGAAUAUUGGACAAUGGGCGCAAGCCUGAUCCAGCCAUACCGCGUGGGUGAAGAAGGCCUUCGGGUUGUAAAGCCCUUUUGUUGGGAAAGAAAAGCAGCAGGUUAAUACCCCGCUGUUCUGACGGUACCCAAAGAAUAAGCACCGGCUAACUUCGUG